rnacentral:rRNA from 1 species
CACGUAGGGUGCGAGCGUUGUCCGGAAUUAUUGGGCGUAAAGAGCUCGUAGGCGGUGUGUCGCGUCGGCCGUGAAAACCUGCAGCUUAACUGUGGGCGUGCGGGCGAUACGGGCAGACUGGAGUACUGCAGGGGAGACUGGAAUUCCUGGUGUAGCGGUGAAAUGCGCAGAUAUCGGGAGGAACACCGGUGGCGAAGGCGGGUCUCUGGGCAGUAACUGACGCUGAGGAGCGAAAGCGUGGGGAGCGAACAGG